CGGACGGGUGAGUAAUGCAUAGGAAUCUGCCCGGUAGUGGGGGAUAACCUGGGGAAACUCAGGCUAAUACCGCAUGCGCCCUACGGGGGAAAGCAGGGGAUCUUCGGACCUUGCGCUAUCGGAUGAGCCUAUGUCGGAUUAGCUUGUUGGUGAGGUAAUGGCUCACCAAGGCGACGAUCCGUAGCUGGUCUGAGAGGAUGAUCAGCCACAUCGGGACUGAGACACGGCCCGAACUCCUACGGGAGGCAGCAGUGGGGAAUAUUGGACAAUGGGCGAAAGCCUGAUCCAGCCAUGCCGCGUGUGUGAAGAAGGCUUUCGGGUUGUAAAGCACUUUCAGUGAGGAAGAAAGCCUUGGGGCCAAUACCCCCAAGGGACGACAUCACUCACAGAAGAAGCACCGGCUAACUCCGUGCCAGCAGCCGCGGUAAUACGGAGGGUGCGAGCGUUAAUCGGAAUUACUGGGCGUAAAGCGCGCGUAGGUGGCUUGAUAAGCCGGUUGUGAAAGCCCCGGGCUCAACCUGGGAACGGCAUCCGGAACUGUCAGGUUAUAGUGUAGGAGAGGAAGGUAGAAUUCCCGGUGUAGCGGUGAAAUGCGUAGAGAUCUGGAGGAAUACCAGUGGCGGAUGCGGCCUCCUGGUCUGACACUGACACUGAGGUGCGAAAGCGUGGGUAGCAAACAGAAGGAGAUACCCUGGGAGUGUCGCCCCCCAAAA
rnacentral:rRNA from 1 species